rfam:Capsicum annuum cultivar Zunla-1 chromosome 12, whole genome shotgun sequence
GAAAGCCGUGUGCAAUGAAAAGUGCAAGCACGGCUUGGGGAGGGAUCUUUACUUGUUUAUUUAAUUUAAGAUUAACAUUUAUUUUAU